CUAGCUAACCCCACAUGUAUUAGAGGCACUGCCUGCCCAGUGAACCCUAACUUCAACGGCCGCGGUAUUCUGACCGUGCAAAGGUAGCAUAAUCAUUUGUCUUCUAAAUAAAGACUAGUAUGAAUGGCAAGACGAAAGCUUAACUGUCUCCUUUAUCUAAUCAAUGAAAUUGAACUUCUAGUACAAAUGCUAGAAUAUAUACAUAAGACGAGAAGACCCUAUGGAACUUCAAACACGCACCCACCAUCAUAAACUAUUCCACAAUAAAACCAAUUUCCUGGCUACGCUGUUUUUGGUUGGGGCGACCACGGAGAAAACCCACCCUCCGAUUAAACCUAUUUUAGGUCGAAACAAACAAACUGAAACCUAAGUACCACUCAACCACUGACCCAAUACAAUUGAUCAAUGAACCAAGCUACCCUAGGGAUAACAGCGCAAUCUUCUCUACGAGUCCAUAUCACCAAGAAGGCUUACGACCUCGAUGUUGGAUCAGGAUACCCAGACAGUGCAGCCGCCGUCAAAGGUUUGUUUGUUCAACAAUUAAAAUCCU
rnacentral:rRNA from 1 species